rnacentral:lncRNA from 13 species
AUUUCUUGCCCCUAUAUAAUCAAAGUAUAUUCACCUAUUUGUUCUUUAACUUGUUUUUGAUCUGUCAUUUUUGUUGUAUUUUUCUUACCAAACGAGUGCUAAUAAAAAGUUAAUGGACAGUACCCAGAUAUCCAGAGAUUUAAUAAAGUAAAUUUCCAAGAUCCAUAUUGAGCUCUAUGAUGUGAUUGAGGAGAAGCAGAAAGCAGCAGAGACACAGGCUGAAGGGCUCAUCAAAGAGCUGGAGGAGGAAAUCACUGAUCUACAGAAGAGAAGCGGUGCUCUGGAGCAGCUGUCACACACCGAGGACCACGUCUACCUCAUACAGGAGGACAUACAUUUUGAAAGAGGAGUAUUUCAUAUUUUAUCUGGAUGCAAAGUGAAAGCAGAUAAGAGACAACACAUUCAAAGGUAAGAACAUUACUUGAAAUAGAAAUUCAUACCAUCAACAGGACAAUCCAGAAAUAACAUACCAUUUUAGAAGUCUAUUAAGGUAUUCUGAUACUCAUGCAGAAUAUGAGUUAUUUCCUGAAAAAUAAAUAAAAUGUCUUCCUUUGUACUUGUGGGGAAAAGUAGCUUAA